GUGCUUUGUGUGGGAAGGUGAUUCUGCCAUCCAGACACCCUCUGGGAAUGACAGCACCAAAGCACAGCAAAGCCAGGAGGCCUCCCAGUCCAGCCCGAUCGCCAGCAGCAAAGAAAUGAUGGGUGAUGUGGAAGUUGUGGGUCAGGUUUUGGAGUGAGUUCAGCUGCCCCUGGAAGCAGGGAACCCUCCCUGGCUUUCUGGGAAAGCUGCUGAGCAUCACAGCCUGGGAGAGAUUCAGCCCUGUGUAAUUCUGACAGAGAAGUGCAAGCGAGAGGGCAGCUGGUGGGUGUGCAGAGCCCAGAGCAGGAGCACCAUCUGCCCAACUCCCUGGAUAGGAGGCAAACUCUCCCUCUCCAAGAGCCAGUGCCUGUGGGAGAGGCUGCUGGGAGACGCUGGGUGAUGAUGGGUUUCCUCUCUGGGGUCCACAGUGAGCUGUGCUUACCCUCUGCCCAGUCUGUCACAGGUUUUCCACCUCCACGGGUCUGGCAUCCUUCAUCCCCCUGUAGUGCCACCCCCUGGGCUCCACAGGUCAACUUCCAACUCAGCCACGCAGGAGGGAAACUCUGCAGCUUGGAGCUCAACCUGUGCCCUACCCAAAUUUCCCCGUGCGUCUGGUGCGAAGGACGAAGUAGCUCUGGUCCCUCCUGCAAGCAGCUGGCAAAGCCAUCCCUGCAUCGAGGCUGUGUUCCCUGCUGGACAGCUCGUGGGAUCUGGCUACAAAAGGAGAAGAUUUCUCCUUCUUCUUAUGACUGGAUGUCACAGCUGCUUUUAGAGCAACAGAAGAGGAUCUUGAUGAUGGUCAGAGA